GACCUCCCAGGAUCGCAUCUGGAGAGCUCUCGGUGCUCUUCCAGCUUCGGAGGCGGGAGGGAGAUCACGGCAGAUGAAUACCCAUUCCCUCGCUAGUCUCCGGAGUGGCCAGCGAGCGGAAGAUAGUCUGCUACACGG
rnacentral:snoRNA from 1 species